AUUCCUUUGUUCCGGUUUCAUCUUACCCGGCCACUGUAUCUUAUGAUCCUAACACAGUUGCAGAGCAAGUAACGACGACCGAAGACUUAGAGUCCUUGCAUUUGUUGUCGUCUAAGUGUGAUUUCACACAUAGUACACCAAAGCCCUACCACCCCACGAGUGACUCCAUUGAGAGGGGACAAAAGGACACCCCUUUACAAAAGACAUCUGAUGAGACAAUCCAUGCCGUAGAAGCCGGAGAAGGGUCUGAAGACACAGGACUAACAGCCGC